AGCGAACGCUAGCGGCACGCUUUAUACAUGCAAGUCGAACGGAAUAUUCUUUAAUUUCGGUUAAGAAUGUUUAGUGGCAAACGGGUGAGUAAUAUAUAGAAAUCUGUCCUUUUGGGGGAAUGAAUAGUCAUGGGAAACUAUGAGUAAUACAACAUAAGCUCGAAAGAGGAAAGGUUUUGGUUUUGAAAAAAAUUAAAAUCGCUGAAGGAGGAGUCUAUAUCAGAUUAGAUAGUUGGUGGGGUAAAUGCUUACCAAGUCUAUGAUCUGUAGUUGGUCUUAGAGGAUGAUCAGCCACAUUGGGACUGAGAUACGGCCCAA
rnacentral:rRNA from 1 species